ACAAGACAGAAAUUUUGCUUUAAAAAGGAUGAUAAAUCCCAGCAUGGCACAAGUUCUCAUAUGAAAAGUCAUAUUAUAAUAAUAUGGAAAUAAUCCAAAGGAAAAUGAAAUUACCAGUUGCACCGCAAAUAAAAUAAUGUAAAAUAAAAAUAUCAGCUGUUUUGAUGUUCAACCUGUUCUGGUUGAAUGAGGUUUUGGGAGGACUGAUGCCACAAAAUGCAGUUGAGAAAGGAUAAAAACACCAAACCCUACAAAAACAGGACAUAAGGGAGCUGAAGCUCUGCAAAAUGACACUAAUUAGCUGAAGACUGUUAAGGAGAAAGAGGUCCCCAUCGACCAGGGUACAGCAUCCAGAGCACUGCCAAGACCCAGCACACUCCUGGAUUUUAAGGCUCUGGGUCCAAGAGCAGCUGUGUAGUGAUCUGAAGGCUGGUAAGACAAGCACAAGGACUUGUACAAGCAUCAGGGCUCCUUGUCUGACAGAAGAAUGAAGAAAUAUGUCAGUAUUGCUGAGUCCUCUUCUAUGAAUCACUUAAGUUACUGAGAAGAGGAACAGCUGGAGGCCAAAGAUUUCCUCAGACAUCAUUUGGAGUCAUGCACAGUGGGGAAAACCUGACCCCAUUUAAAUCUGGUUGUCUCAUGGGUUGUAUUGCCUGAGCCCAGGAAGAACACUAAGGCAUAUUAUCACUUCACUGAAAACAGGAGAAACAGCUCUGUUUGAAGAAUAUGACAGAUACGGCUGUGGUGCUACCAGAGUUCACUCCAUUAACUUUUUGAGUAAAAUCUUUUAAUUAUUGUAUUCUAUUCAACUGAAAUAUCACGUUCAGCAAUGUCACAACGUAAUAACUACCAAAGCAAUGAAAUGCAUCUGUAAAACUUCAGGGCCUGAUCCUUGACCUCUUUAAUGUGCAGUGACACUUUCUGUCCUUACAGAUGGCUCCAAUACUCUUCAAAAACAUCACAGUGGGUUGGGUUUUUUUUCCCUAAUGAGUUAAAAUUUUCCUCUUACGCUGAGGAAGUCAAAGCUAUAACCCAAAACUUGUUUGGCAAGCCGUAGAAAAAUGAGGUUUGAACUACAGACAGAAUAAAUAGAACAAAACUAAAAUGACAGACAAUCUGUUUCAGUGGAUUUCCCAUGCUAUUUGUUUAUUUUUUUUCAAGUUAUAUGCUCUUGAUGGUUUAAAUAUUCGUGGAAGUGGAGCACUUAUAGCUGAGAUCUAAUUCAAAUUUACUGUGUAAUGCAGAAGGCUUGAGAUCUGUCUCUGUGGUGAUGUUUAACAAUGUAUAACAGGUCAUUUAUGUAGCUAACUUCAGAUCUGGGGUUAAAUGGAAUUGCUCAUUUUGUUUUUUUGUAUUGUCACUUGGAAGAUUCUUCUCCUUGGCUUGGAUUUCCCAAAAAAGUACAGAAGGAUGUCCCAAACUCUUUUUCUUCUCUUAGGCUAUGCCAUCGUUUCAUUCCUAAUCCAAGCAUUAAAUAAGGGCUAAUUUGAACGAGGUGGAAUUUUUAUAUUUUUUUAAUGCACUAUUUUAUUCAUUUUAUAUGUGACCAUGAGCCAACACCUGAGCUGCAGUUUUACCCUGGUGAUGCUGAAACAGAAACUCAAGGUCUGUUAAUGCAACAAACAUAUUUGAAGCAGAACUGAGCUCAAUUUGGCAGAAAAACAAGAUCAAUGAAAUUUCACAGUUUAGGAAGUUUGUGAGACUUUAAUUUUUUUGCUUGCUUGAAUUUUUAGAAAUGCUGACCUCAAAAUCCACUUCUUAAAAGAUGACUCUCUUUCGAUUACAUCCCUUGGCAUUUUGGAAAUGCAGAUGAGUUUGCGUAAAUGAACACAUGCUAAUGUCAUGUGGGAGAAGAGGUUAUUUCCCCUCCCCCCCCUUAUAACCAAUACGGAAUUUCUGAACCAUUAUUUUAUUUUUCCUGAUGCUUUCAUUUUUUUAAUAAUGUAAAUAUAGGUCUCACCUAAAAGAAGGUGAA